ensembl:lncRNA
CUGAUUUCUCACUCUUCGGAGAGUCCGCGGCUCCCGUACAGAGAAUCUGAGGAGCCAAACAGCGGCUGAAUUAGACCAUGAAAUUACAGAUAACAUUUAAAAAUAAUCUCAGCAUAAUGAUUACAGCGAGGCCACUGAGACAUUUCUUAAGGCUCUGAAAUUAUCCACACUAUUUAUUGACUUCUUCCACACUCAGCGAUAAGAAUAUGUAAUCAGUUUUUCUGGUAAUUUGUUGUUGUAUCAGGAGGAAGAGUCGAGGAGGGGCGAGUGUUUGUGACGCCGGACAGACGGAUGUUUGGACUCUCAUUCUGACGGCACCCAUUCACUGCAGAGCAUACAUUGCUGAGACACUGAUGCAAUGCUACUUUUCUACAAAUCUGACGAAGAAACACACUCAUCUACAUCUAUAGAUGGCCUGAGGCUCCAUCGAGAGGAGCUUGGCCCAAAACAGCACCUGUUGUUCACCGAGUGACCUUCUAAUUUUCUAAUUCAAUUUCAUCUGGAGCCGCUCUGCCUCCGCGAUCAGCAGCCAGUAAUAACAAUUACUGUGACCGACUCAACCUGCACCUUACUUCAAUCAGAGCUGUGAGGACUGGAAGGGCAUCAAGAGGACCGGCUGAUCAUUUAUCAUCAGCGCGGGGGGAAAUUACUUCACUUACUCGGAAAGAGAAGGAGAGAGAGGGGAG